UUAAGGGCUGGCAGUGGAAGUGACAGGAGGUGCUGGGGUUCGCUGCCUACUGGAGUCUUUCUAAAAAAUUCAAGUGCAUCAAUUUUUCUCAUUGACCAUUUGCAAUCUGAUAACAUUUGCUUCAGAAGGAAACAUUUACCAGUAGAAAAUGCAAGAAGAUGAGUGUUUUUUGUUUUGUUUUUUCUCUAUUAUACUGCACUGCACAAAUUUUCAUUAUCCCAUGGAGAGAUGAAAUGGACAACUGCAAUGAAAAAAGAGAAGAUUACAAAAAGAUAAGUUACUGAAGAAACUUAAGGAUGAGUCAAAGAUGAAUGCUUAAAAGGACAAGGGAAGAAAAAAAAGAUGCCUUUCUAAAUGUGAAGGAGAAAAAAUAAAAAAGGAAACAGAAAAACAGUAAUGAACCAUAGAUAACGCAGAAGAAAAAUGAAAGAAUGUGAAGUAGAAGAUUUAAAAGACAAAAUUUCUAAAUCAGUGAAUUUUGUUCAUCAAAAAUAAUCAAUAUAAAAAUUCUAGCAACAAUAUUUUCUCAACUCCAUAAGAAAAUUUCUGAUUUAUGUUCUAUUUUUGUUAUGGACAAAAAUAGUCAACUUUUUUUUUUUUUCAGGAAUUAGUUUUUUUGUUUUUUGCUUUUUUGUUUGUUUGUUCCUCUAAGUGAAUGAAUUCCUUAGCAAUUUUUCUGCUCCAUAAAUUCUUCCUUUUUUGAAACAAGCAGAGAUUCUCAAGUUUGUUGAACAGGGAUUAGUAUAUUCAUCUAGUCCUAAUUGUUAGCACCAAAAAAUGUUGACACCAUGGUUUUGUGGGUCCCUCCCUGUCAAUCUCUGCCUAGCUUUAGCCAUCACUGAAAGACUUUUCACAGUUAUCACUUCAUUUCAAGUUACAAGUCAUUUCAAGUAUGACUGAAACAGUCCGUGCCUUGAAAUGAGUGUAAGACUAAUUUGGUCCCAAAGAUUCCCAAAACAGGGUGUGAUACUCCAAACAAAUGAAAGGAAGACAUUUUUUACAGAAUGUGUCAAAAUGUGCAUAUGUGGAUACUAAAAGAUCUGUUUCUUCCAUGGAAGAAAUAAUCACUUAAGGACUACUGAAUGUAAACUGUCCAACUCUUCAGAAUCCCUGGAAUUUAAAAUAAAAAUCUUGAGAAUAUGCAGGAUAAUGUUAUGGUGAGUUACUAUCUGCAAUCAAUAUACAUUUAUGCUUUCUCCAUGCUCUCCAAGCCAUGUAAUAAGCUACUAAGCAAAAAAGAAAAAAACCCUCUGUCAUCACUUCUGACAACUAAAUAACCUAAAGGUGACAGAAAUAGCAGAACAUCCAUUAUAGUACUGGAGUUCAGUUGAAAAUCAACAACAAAACUGGAAGACAAUUAAAACAUGUUUUGACCAGUAAGAAAAUGCAACAAACUCUCCAGUGAAUUAGUCUGUGUGAUUUUUCACAAGCUGUAUAAUGCAUCUGGUUGAAAUAUUUCGAAUAAACAUUUCUGAUUUUCAAUUGUAAAAUUGAAUUAACAUUUUAACUGAUUUAACAAUAUCUAAAUCUUUCCUGGAAUCAUAGAACAACUCAGAUUGGAGGGGACUUUAAAGAUUGUCUAUUUCCAACCCCAACUGGAAAUGAAUGAUUUUGUCAUGACAAUUUUUAUUACAUUUAACAAAACUGUUCCAUUUAUUAAUUUUAAAAUUUAUCUCAACCUUGUAGUUUGAAGUCUAUUUUUACAACAGUAAAUGAAAAUAUUUGGUCUUCAUAAGAAAAAAAAAUUAAUGUGACAUAAAGAAGCUAUAAUAUGAACAACAUUAAUAAGUCGUUACCUUCACUCUUGGUCAUAUCAUCAUAUGAUCUUUUACUGUACUCACUAGUAGUCAGACCAUAUGUAAAAUCAUUAUAUUACCAUUACAAACUUAUUCUUGUUUCAUCUCUGGAUUUUUUUAUUAUUAUUUCUUUUUUUAAUAAGCUGCUGCUUCUUUGCUCUGGGCGCCCUCAGAAGCAGCUGGCUUAUUGUUAAGACCAAGUUCCUGUUCUUCCAUAAUUACUUUUGACAGUAGAAAAUGUAAAGUUCAGUGCAAGCUCAAGCUUACACAGUAUAUGAAUAUGCGAGAUGAAAAAAAUCAGCCUGUAUUUUUAUGCUUUUUUCUCCAGUAGUGCUGAGUAGGACUAAACCACACAUUCAGAAGCUGUCCUCUGAAAGGAAUACUUCUUGUUGUCUCAUGUGUAAUUGUCUUGUCUUGAAAACAUUGCUCUGAAAAAAUAACACUGUACCAAAACAUAUUUACCUGAAAUGCAUUAUGUUCUCCGUAUAAAUACAAAUAAGACAUUUUCAUAGCACUCUGAAAA